UGGUGGUGAUGCAAGCGGUGAUGUAGAAAGGAGGUGGUGAUGGCAGGAAGUCUUUGUGGCGGUGUCGAUGGUGAAGAUGGUGUUAGUGGUGAUGGAAAUGGUGGUGACAGUCCUUGUGGUGGUGAUGAUGAAGAAAAGUGUUAGUGGUGAUGGGGGUGGUGAUGCAAGUGGUGGUAGCAGGAACUCUUAGUGGUGGUGAAGAAUAGUGUUAGUGGUGAUGCAAGUUAUGGUGAUGGCAGUAAAAAUGGUGUUAAUAGUGAUGGGAAUGAUGUUAUUAGUCUGCGGUGGUAAUGGUGACAGUAGGUUUUUGUAGUGGUGAUGAUGGUGAGAAUGCUGUUAGUGGUAAUGAAGUGGUGGGAGCAGUCUUAGUUAUGGUGAUGAUAGUAAAAAUGGUGUUAAUUGUGAUGGGAAUUAUGUUAUUAGUCUGCGGUGGUAAUGGUGACUAGAUUUUUGUAGUGGUGAUGAUGGUAAGGAGUGGUGAUGGGGGGGAGGGGGUGACAGUCCUUGUGGUGGUGAUGAUCGUGUUAGCGGUGUUGUGCGAGGUAAUACAAGUGAUGGUGACGGUCUUUGCGGUGGUGGUGGUGAUACAGAUGGUGUGGGUGGUGAUGAAGUGGUGAUGACAGUCUUUGCGGCGGUGUUGGGGCAAUAGUGGGUGUGUUUGUUUUGUGUCCCCGUGAAAACAAGAGAAAGAUUGUGCUUCCUUACCGACCAUCCCGUUGUGUCCGCAGCUCAGGGGCAGGAGAAGCAGGAGAGAGACAGCGCCGACGACCCACAUGCUGUCUCUCUCUCUCUCUCUCUCUCUCUCUCUCUCUCUCUCUCUCUCUCUCUCUCUCUCUCUCUCUCUCUCUCUCUCUCUCUCUCUCUCUCUCUCUCUCUCUCUCUCUCUCUCUCUCUCUCUCUCUCUCUCUCUCUCUCUCUCUCUCACUGAUAAAAGAGAAUAUUUACACUGCUCCUCUCACUUUAAUAUUGUCUUCUCUUUUCUAGGAAGGAGGAGGAGGAGGAGGAGGAGGAGGAGGAGGAGCAGAAGGAGGAAGGCACGCGAGAGGUUAAAAUCGCUUAUAUGAAUAUUUCUCUCUCUCUCUCUCUCUCUCUCUCUCUCUCUCUCUCUCUCUCUCUCUCUCUCUCUCUCUCUCUCUCUCUCUCUCUC